AAGAAGUUAAUACCCGAUGGCAUAGUUCUUCCGCAUGGUAGAACUAUUAAAGGAUUUCGGUCAUCGAUGGGGAUGCGUUCCAUUAGGUUGUUGGCGGGGUAACGGCCCACCAAGCCUUCGAUGGAUAGGGGUUCUGAGAGGAAGGUCCCCCACAUUGGAACUGAGACACGGUCCAAACUCCUACGGGAGGCAGCAUG
rnacentral:rRNA from 1 species